rnacentral:lncRNA from 1 species
AAACGACAAUAGCAAACGCAUUCACUAAAGACAAACAUGAUUAAAAUCAUACAAUGGGGAAGAGUACUUAUAAGUGUUAUUACUCUUCGUUGGGCAUACAUUAGAAAAAAACAAAAAAAAACUUCUAGAAAUUUAAAACUUGCGACAUGUCUUUUUCACAUGUUAUCAUUGAGGAAAAUAUCUUGCAUGUCAUUCAUGGUGUUAUUGAAAUCAUUAUUUUGUCGGGUCCAUUCUUCUCUCAUGUUCUCUCUUCUUGUUUCUUGCUCUUGAUCUUGAUUUCUAAAAUAAUUCUCCAUUUCUUCGGCACUUGCAAAGCAUGCUCUUAAACUUUGGG